GAUGUCUUCAGGAGCACUGUAAACCCCAACAGUCUACCUGACUUAUAAAGUUUGUGGAUAUAACAAUUGAAAUUCCUCACAAAGUUGAAACAACGUAAAACUUUUCUGUUCUGUUAACGAUUCAAACUGUUAUAAUUGUACAUGGCUUAGAAGUUAAGAGUAAAUACUGCUUUCUUAAUUAUGAUUUUUGAGUAAAUGUUUUUUUUCCGAGCUCCACAUGUGUAUGUCAACUACGUCAUGACGUUUUCUCUCUAACCUGAACGACGUUGACAGAAAAUUCUGUUCAAUAUGGCUGCCCUUCUCGAGCGACUGGAGAGCACAUUUGGAGAAACUUGCUGAAGACCGAAGACAAAAAGACAGAAGAAAAA